rnacentral:rRNA from 1 species
CCUACGGGUGGCAGCAGUCGAGAAUCAUUCACAAUGGGGGAAACCCUGAUGGUGCGAAGCCGCGUGGGGGAAUGAAGGUCAUCGGAUUGUAAACCCCUGUCAUGAGGGAGCAAAUUAAAAAGCUAGUACCCCAAGAGGGAGAGCCGGCUAACUAUGUGCCAGCAGCCGCGGGAAUACAGAUGUCUCAAGCGGAGUUCGGAAUCACUGGGCGUAAAGCGUUCGUUGGAUGUUGUGUACGGCGUGCGGGAAAGGCGCGGGGUCAACCCCCGGACGGCAGAUGAGACUGGGUGACUAGAGUAGUGGAGGGGGAUCCGGAAUGCGCGGUGUAGCAGUGAAAUGCGUAGAUAUCGAGAGGAACACUCGUUGCGAAGGCGGGUUCCCGGACAUAAACUGACGCUGAGGCACGAAGGCCAGGGUAUCGAACAGGAUUAGAUACCCCUGUAGUC